rnacentral:lncRNA from 1 species
GGCGGCACAGGGCGCGCCGGGCCACCGGAGCGCACCAAUUCCGAAUGCCCGGCGGGUCGGCGAUCAGCAAUCCUGGGAUGUCCACUUGGCUGAAUGACCAGUUCCUACGGACUUCCUGUGACGUGUGUUCUCCGAGGCCAUCCGGCGUCCCCGGGCCGCGAUCGUUUCUCGUAGGGCAUCGCUGGCUGACACCGGGCUCAAAAGCAGAUCACGUUUGGCAUCAUCUUAUUAAAGCUUUCUGGACCUUUCUCAGGACCCCAGAGUUCCGGGAAGAACCCAACAUUCCCUGGUGCCAGCCUGUGGCUGUGCCAGUCACAUCCGCCCUGCUGAGCCUCCUCUAGCUCCUAUGUACCAGCCCAACCUGGGCACCCCUAUCCUGACCACACCUUGUACUCUCCUCUCUCCAGCCCUUUGCUCCUGUUGUUUCUUCCACCUGGGCUGCUGUCCCUCCAGUUUUUGCUGGUCGAAACCUCAUCCAUCCUUAAGGCUCAGCCUGCGCACGCGUCCUGUGGCUAUCAGGUCCCUCCUUCUCUGGCUCCUCGUAGCCUGGCCACGGUAGCCGGCCCUGGUGUGCUCCGGAAGCUCACGCUCGUCCUCUGACUCACUUCUCCGUCUCCCCUCCCAGAGCUGGGGUGGCCACAGAACUUUCUGGGAAGAGCUUUGGAGUCAGACAAGACCGGCUUCCGCGGAGCUGCAGUCUCGGUGGUUGUGAAACGGGGGUAUUGAUGAUCAUUCGCCACCGUGAGGAAGCGUGGAGGGAGCUGCCACCCGGAGCCCGGGCACCCGUCCCGGCGCUGCCCUGUGCUUGGCCCUGGGGACACAGCAGUGGAGACAGCCCUGCCUGCCAGCAUGGAAGCGGCUUGAGCUAACAUUAGUACUAGCGGUCUGUUAUUAUAGCAGCUUUAUUGGUGUAUUUACAUUAAAGUACAAAAUCUUGGGGCGCCUGGGUGGCUCCGUCGGUUGAGCGUCCGCCUUCGGCUCAGGUCACGAUCUCUCAGUUCGUGAGUUCGAACCUUGUGUCGGGCUCUGUGCUGACAGCUCAGAGCCUAGAGCCUCUUUGGAUUCUGUGUCUCCCUCUCUCUCCGCCCCUCCCUGCUCGCUGUCUGUCUCUCUCUCUCAAAAAUCAAUACACAUUAAAAAAAAUUAAAGUACAGAAUCUUUGUGAGUGACCAGAUGAAUGUUCCCAUAUGUCCACACUGUGGCUCCGUGCGGAUCGAGUCAUAGCACCUUCCAGUCCCCCAGGAGCCUCCACCGAGGGCAGCUACUGUUUUGACCUUUAC